rnacentral:rRNA from 1 species
GACGAACGCUGGCGGCGUGCCUAAUACAUGCAAGUUGAGCGCUGAAGGUUGGUACUUGUACCGACUGGAUGAGCAGCGAACGGGUGAGUAACGCGUGGGGAAUCUGCCUUUGAGCGGGGGACAACAUUUGGAAACGAAUGCUAAUACCGCAUAAAAACUUUAAACACAAGUUUUAAGUUUGAAAGAUGCAAUUGCACCACUCAAAGAUGAUCCCGCGUUGUAUUAGCUAGUUGGUGAGGUAAAGGCUCACCAAGGCGAUGAUACAUAGCCGACCUGAGAGGGUGAACGGCCAAAUUGGGAAUGAGACACGGCCCAAAAUCCUACGGGAGGCAGCAGUAGGGAAUCUUCGGCAAUGGACGAAAGUCUGACCGAGCAACGCCGCGUGAGUGAAGAAGGUUUUCGGAUCGUAAAACUCUGUUGGUAGAGAAGAAAGUUGGUGAGAGUGGAAAGCUCAUCAAGUGACGGUAACUACACAGAAAGGGACGGCUAACUACGUG